AAUGUAUUGUGAAGAGACAUGCUGGUGACAGAAAUUUUAGGGAUGAAUUGGUAUUCGGUGUCUACAAAACUAAGCAAGUAGAAAAGCAAAAACAAUUAUGAAUGCCAACAAAAACAAAAAAUUAUACAAGAAAGAAAAUAUAUGCUGAUAAUACAUUAAAUGCUUGCUUUUGAAUAAUUUCUGUUAUAUAUACAUUGAGCUCCAAAACAGAAAAAUGGAAAGCCAAUUGCGUGCAUUUCUUAGGGCUGCUCUAACAAAGUACCACACACCAGGUGGCUUAAGAAGAGAAAUUUAUUGUCUCACAGUUCUGGAGGCUAGAGGUCCAAAAACAAGGCGUUGGCAGGAUUGGUUCUUUCUGAAGACUGUGAGGAAGGAUCUGUUCCAGGUCUCUCUCUCCGCUUGUAGAUGACCAUCUUUAUGUUCACAUGGUGUUCUCUCUGUCUUCAAGUCUAAAUUUCCCCUGGCAGCCACUCCCAGAGUCCCUGGAUCUCUGGCCGAAGGCUCUCUGACUGACUCCUUCCCAGACCUUCUCGGCUUAGCAGCUGAAGACUGACACUGCCCGAUCGCCUUGGAAGCCUUAUUCAAUAUACUGAUGACCUUCUUCUUUGUAGCCCCUCCUUUGAAUCUUCUCAACAAGACACACUUCUGCUCCUUCAGCAUUUACUCUCCAAAGGAUUUCAGGUAUCCCCCUCCAAAGCUUAAAUUUCUUCUCCAUUCGUUACCUACCUCGGCAUAAUUCUUCAUAAAAACACACUUGCUCUCCCUGCUGAUCGUGUCUGACUAAUCUCUCAAACCCCAACCCCUUCUACAAAACAACAACUCCUUUCCUUCCUAGGCAUGGUUCCUAGCCUUUGGAUACCUGGUUUUCCAUCCUAACAAAACCAUUAUAUAAACUCACAAAAGGAAACCUAGCUGACCCCAUAGAUCCUAAAUCCUUUCCCCACUCCUCUUUCCGUUCCUUGAAGACAGCUUUAGAGACUGCCCCCACUCUAGCUCUCCCUGACUAAUCCCAACCCUUUUCAUUACACACAGCUGAAGUGCAGGGCUGUGCAGUCAGAAUUCUUACACAAGGACCAGGAUCCCGUCCUGUAGCCUUUUUGUCCAAACAACUUGACCUUACUGUUUUAAGCUGGCAAUUAUGUCUCCAUGCAGUGGCUGCUGCCGCCAUAAUACUUUUAGAGGCCCUUAAAAUCACAAACUAUGCCCAACUCACUCUCUACAGCUCUCGUAAUUUCCAAAAUCUAUUUUCUUCCUCACACCUGACGCAUAUACUUUCUGCUCCCUGGCUCCUUCAGCUGUACUCACUCUUUGUUAAGUCUCCCACAAUUACCAUCGUUCCUGGCCCGGACUUCAAUCCAGCCUCCCACAUUAUUCCUGAUACCACACCUGACCCUCAUGACUGCAUCUCUCUGAUCCACCUGACAUUCACCCC
rnacentral:lncRNA from 10 species